AGGAAGCUUCACCACCUAGACGCCUGCAGUACCUCCCAACUGAAAGUCCACUCAUCUCGAGUCACACAUCAGGAGUCUACUGCUGGGGCAGCUCAGCCAAAGCUCCAGCGACACUAUUCCCUGGAUUCAUUCUCCCCAUCCAUCAGUCUAAGGAACUCCACUAAGCAGAUCGAUGAGGACUUCCAGAAGCUUUACCACAAGCUUGUGUGUCAGGGCAAAUACCACAAGCUUGUCUGUCAGGGCAAAUCGGUCCCCUCCUGUCGCAUGUGUGAGAGGAGAGCAGAGACCACCAGAGGCCCCUCCUCCUCUGCUCUGGCUGCCCUGGCCCUGUCUCCUCACCACUCUGUCAUGAGGAAGCGUCGCAGGGAGCUGGUCCAGAAACAUUCCCCAGAGUCCAAACGCUUCAGAGACAACUCCUGCGUGUACUCACCAGGAUCUCUCCGCCAGAGGAGAGAAAUGAUCAGGUGCCAGAAUCGCUUAGACAGCCACUUGUCCUCCACGCAUCUAUCCUCCAUCCAGAGGGACAUCUCCUGUGACUCCCACACCUGGAGCCCGCAUAGGGCCAGCCUGUUUCAGAUCCGCCACAGCCCCCAUCACCACUCAGACGCAGCAGUCAGGAAAGCUGCAGGCUCCUGGUCUGGCCUGCAUGUUGAUCAGCCCUCUCCUGCUUGUAGAGCGAAAUACAACAGAUUUGUUGGGAUUCAUCCAGGAAAGUCACCUGUCAAGGCAGAGUGCCAAUGUGGCUGUUCGCCAAGUUUCUCUAGGAGACAGCUUCUGUAUAAAUGA
rnacentral:lncRNA from 13 species